GAACGCACAUUGCGCCCAGUGGUAUUCCACUGGGCAUGCCUGUUCGAGCGUCAUUUCAACCCUCAAAAGCUUGCUUUUGGUGUUGGAGGAAUACCUGUGAAAGGGUACCCUCUGAAAUUUAGUGGCGGGCUCGCUAGAAUUUUGAGCGUAGUAAUUUUACCUCGUUUUUAAAGACUAGUGGGACUUCUUGCCGUAAAACCCCCAACUUUCUGAAAUUUGACCUCGGAUCAGGUAGGAAUACCCGCUGAACUUAAG
rnacentral:misc_RNA from 1 species